rnacentral:tRNA from 1 species
GAAGUAUGAGAUUCAAGUAAAAGCUGCUAACUUUUUUCUUUAAUGGUUAAACUCCAUUUAUACUUCU